rnacentral:snoRNA from 1 species
GCUUCACUGAUGAAAACAAACCCAGCUCUCUGAAAGAGAAUGAGGAGUUAAAAUUCUGAGAAGC